rnacentral:rRNA from 1 species
GUGAACGCUGGCGGUAGGCCUAACACAUGCAAGUCGAACGGCAGCACAGUAAGAGCUUGCUCUUACGGGUGGCGAGUGGCGGACGGGUGAGGAAUACAUCGGAAUCUACUUUUUCGUGGGGGAUAACGUAGGGAAACUUACGCUAAUACCGCAUACGACCUACGGGUGAAAGCAGGGGAUCUUCGGACCUUGCGCGAUUGAAUGAGCCGAUGUCGGAUUAGCUAGUUGGCGGGGUAAAGGCCCACCAAGGCGACGAUCCGUAGCUGGUCUGAGAGGAUGAUCAGCCACACUGGAACUGAGACACGGUCCAGACUCCUACGGGAGGCAGCAGUGGGGAAUAUUGGACAAUGGGCGCAAGCCUGAUCCAGCCAUACCGCGUGGGUGAAGAAGGCCUUCGGGUUGUAAAGCCCUUUUGUUGGGAAAGAAAAGCAGCAGGUUAAUACCCCGCUGUUCUGACGGUACCCAAAGAAUAAGCACCGGCUAACUGCGU